GACGAACGCUGGCGACGUGCCUAAUACAUGCAAGUUGAGCGCUGAAGGUUGGUACUUGUACCGACUGGAUGAGCAGCGAACGGGUGAGUAACGCGUGGGGAAUCUGCCUUUGAGCGGGGGACAACAUUUGGAAACGAAUGCUAAUACCGCAUAACAACUUUAAACACAAGUUUUAAGUUUGAAAGAUGCAAUUGCAUCACUCAAAGAUGAUCCCGCGUUGUAUUGGCUAGUUGGUGAGGUAAAGGCUCACCAAGGCGAUGAUACAUAGCCGACCUGAGAGGGUGAUCGGCCACAUUGGGACUGAGACACGGCCCAAACUCCUACGGGAGGCAGCAGUAGGGAAUCUUCGGCAAUGGACGAAAGUCUGACCGAGCAACGCCGCGUGAGUGAAGAAGGUUUUCGGAUCGUAAAACUCUGUUGGUAGAGAAGAACGUUGGUGAGAGUGGAAAGCUCAUCAAGUGACGGUAACUACCCAGAAAGGGACGGCUAACUACGUGCCAGCCGCCGCAGUAA
rnacentral:rRNA from 1 species